GGGAUGGGCGUGGCCUGCGCAUGAUGCAUCCGGCCCACAGGCCGCCAGUUUGACACCCCGCUACUUUCUCAUCCUGGAAGCUUUUCAACUUUCAACUCUCAGAACGCUCUUCAGGGGCCAUGCAAACUGGAAAAUUCUGGAAAUUGAAACUCAUGUAGUACAUCUGUAAUUGGUUUAUUGUGAUCAAACAAUAAUUUCCUUGCAUCCAUAUUUCCCUUUCUUUUUCUGCUUACUGAUUUUAGAUAGUUAUUAGUCCAAGCUUAAUUGAAAUAUCAAAUUACUUCUGGAUUUUGUAUUAAUGCCAGAGCUUUAAUGUAAAUACAACUUAUGUAUUUUGA